AACGAACGCUGGCGGCAGGCUUAACACAUGCAAGUCGAACGCAUCCUUCGGGGUGAGUGGCAGACGGGUGAGUAACGCGUGGGAACGUGCCCUUCAGUUCGGGAUAACCCAGGGAAACUUGGGCUAAUACCGGAUACGUGCGAGAGCAGAAAGAUUUAUCGCUGAAGGAUCGGCCCGCGUCUGAUUAGCUAGUUGGUGGGGUAAUGGCCCACCAAGGCGACGAUCAGUAGCUGGUCUGAGAGGAUGAUCAGCCACAUUGGGACUGAGACACGGCCCAAACUCCUACGGGAGGAAGCAGUGGGGAAGAUUGGACAAUGGCGCAAGCCUGAUCCAGCCAUGCCGCGUGAGUGAUGAAGGCCUUAGGGUUGUAAAGCUCUUUCGUCCGGGACGAUAAUGACGGUACCGGAAGAAGAAGCCCCGGCUAACUUCGUGCCAGCAGCCGCCGUAA
rnacentral:rRNA from 1 species